GACGAACGCUGGCGGCGUGCCUAAUACAUGCAAGUCGAGCGGACGUUUUUGAAGCUUGCUUCAAAAACGUUAGCGGCGGACGGGUGAGUAACACGUGGGCAACCUACCUUAUCGACUGGGAUAACUCCGGGAAACCGGGGCUAAUACCGGAUAACAUCUAGCACCUCCUGGUGCCGGAUUAAAAGAGGGCUUCUUGCUCUCACGAUGAGAUGGGCCCGCGGCGCAUUAGCUAGUUGGAGAGGUAACGGCUCCCCAAGGCGACGAUGCGUAGCCGAACUGGGAGGGUGAUCGGCCACACUGGGACUGAGAAACGGCCCAGAAUCCUACGGGAGGCAGCAGUAGGGAAUAUUCCGCAAUGGACGAAAGUCUGACGGAGCAACGCCGCGUGAGUGAUGAAGGGUUUCGGCUCGUAAAGCUCUGUUAUGAGGGAAGAACAAGUAUGAGAGUAACUGCUCGUACCUUGACGGUACCUAACCAGAAAGCCACGGCUAACUACGUGCCAGCAGCCGCCGUAA
rnacentral:rRNA from 1 species